UGGUAUCAAAUUAAUACAGUAAUUUUGCGUAUUCGAUUAGUGUGAAAUUAACAAUAAAAUGCCUUUUUCUUAUAUUCCAGUAUGUUAAUAUGUGACAAAAUGUUACAUUUUCCAAUAGCGAAAAAAGACUGUAAUACAAGACAUGACGUCAUUACAAUGUAUGACAUCAUAAUAGUGUAGCAAUAACGGAACAAUGUAUUUACAAGAAUCUUCAGGUCAUGUGUGCACUGAAUGACACCAUGCAUCCCCAACCUCAGCAUCACUAAAUUGAGAUGAAAUGAGAUAAAAAAAAAAAAAAUGAUAGUUAAAUAGAUGGAAAUUGAUGAACGAUAUCAAAGACCGUGCAUGCGCUUUACAACGCUCAUUAUAUGACAUGGACAAAAACGAUAUACGAAUUCCAGAAACGUACAAUCACAUUGUGAUAUAACGCUCCAAGUAAUAUUUCCUUGUUUACAGAACGCCUUAAAGUGUCCAGUUAAAAGGAGACCCACUCAAAGUUAGCUACACGAAGGGAUAUUCUAUAACUAUUAACGCGACUCUAGCCCGGGGCUUCCCCUAAAACCGGUGCUGCUAUAGGCUGAAGCGGAAGGCAUUGAGCGUGACUGGAGGGCUAGCACGUCGUAUCAGCGCGGACAUAUAUAGUACAUUCGGAAAGUUUGGAGUAAACCGCAGUGGAUCUUAAUGGUCCAAAGGAAGCGGGCACAUUCAAGGUGUGCGCAUCGCAUUGUUUACGUACAUAAUAGUGUCUUAGGAUGGCGGAAAGCGCUACGACCUGCGAUGGUGUUGAUUUGGCAUGGAUGUAUCAGGAGGCUGGAGACGACGAGGACGACCAAGACUGGGCCGAUGGGUCUCCAGUGAAGUAUUUUACACAUGAAUUGUCCCUGCGUGGCCGGCUCCGCAGACUGCUGAUUAAGAACCCCACUACUAGAUUAUGCAGUACAAUAUUUGACUUGGCUGUGAAGACUAUUGUGUGUACUCUGUACGUUACCCGGGUCUGUAUUGAUGACUUGGAGGUCUACGCCUGUCAUGGGUCUGCUUGUAAUGAAAAUUCAACAGAAGUUGCUACUGCAGACCACAUCAACUGGUAUGUUAUACUGUGGGUGUCGAGGCCACUGGCGCUAUGGAUUGUACAGAUAUUCCUGGCAAUCAUCACUCUCAUCAAGGCCCUGCUACAGAUCUAUGUCAUGACGAAGGGGAGGCGCCAUGAGAACAUUCUUCAGCCAGGAUUCCUGCUGGAGCUCUUCUGCUCAGUUCCUGUAAUAGCCACAGUGGCCUACCCAGUCUUGCUGAAGGAUCUGUUCCUGCCCAUCUUCCUCAACGUUUGGCUUGUCAAGAUGGCGCUGGAGAGACUGUUUAAUGACCUUCACCUUUCCAAGCAGCGAUUCCAGACCAUAUCUGUGACAUUAUCACAACAGAUUCUUCUACUCAAUGUCACUCUCUUCUGUCUCAUCUUUACUACUAUCUGUGGCAUCCAGCACAUCCAAAGAUCCAGUGCACUUGUGAAGCUCAACAUGUUUGAGUCUGUGUACUUUGUGAUAGUGACCUUCUCAACUGUCGGGUAUGGUGACAUAUCCCCAGACAUAUGGGUCGGUCGCCUCUUCAUGCUUUUCAUGAUCUGUGUUGCUUUUGCAUUCAUACCAAGACAGCUUGAAGAGAUCGGCUCCACCUACGUGCAGAGGAAACAGUCAGGUGGGGAAUAUGGCCGCCGGAAAGCUGCGCGCAACAAGCACGUGGUCGUGUGUUCCACUUCGCUCACCACGGAGACUGUCAUGAACUUCCUGAAUGAGUUCUACGCCCAUCCUAAACUGGAGGAACACACAGUGGUGCUGAUGAGCUCCGAUGAGCUGGACACCAGCAUGCAGAUGAUCCUCAAGGAUCCUAAGUGGGCCAACAGGGUCCUGUACAUCAGAGGAUCUGCCCUGAAGGACAUUGACCUCAAGAGGUGUCGAAUCAAUGACGCUGAAGCUUGUUUCUUUCUUGCUGCAAAGAACUGCGGAUGUCGAGACAAAGCCGAAAUCAUUCGUUUUGACCAGCAUACAAUUUUACGGUCGUGGGCUGUGAAGGAUUUUGCACCAAAGUGUCGACAAUAUGUGCAGCUUUUCCGUGCAGAAAAUAAGAUGCAUGUGAAAUUUGCAGAACAUGUAGUUUGUGAAGAUGAGUUUAAAUAUGCUUUACUGGCUAACAACUGUCUGUACCCAGGGUUGUCUACCCUUGUUACCUUGCUGUUACACACAUCAAGGGGGAGAGAGGGGGAAUUGGCAACAGAAGCGUGGCAACAGGUGUAUGGCAGACACUCGGGCAACGAGGUGUACCACAUCCAGCUGAAUCGGAGUGCCUUCUUCAAACAGUACGACGGCAAGAAGUUCACAGAGGCCUCCGCGUGUGCUCAUACCAGGUUUGGGGUGUCUCUGGUAGCUGUGUUAGAUGUGACGAAGACGGAGCCGAGUCUGCAGCUCAAUCCUGGCCCUGAUUACAUCCUGAAGGGAUCGGACUAUUGUUUCUACAUGGGGGUCACGCGAGAGGAGAACUCCAAGAUCAAGUCUGGCGCCAUGGAGAAUGUGUCCGUCUCUGCCAACAGGAAUAAGAACAUAGAGUUGAUUUCUAACGAGAUCCAGAAAUGGCUGCAGUCGGAGGGUGAAGGAGAGGAUGUAGAGGAUGAUGAGAGUGUGUUCAGCACGAUAACGUCCCAGCUCGGCAGUUCCAUCUCUCGCCGUCUCAUGCAGACUGGAGAAAGUGAAGGUCAAGGAAAUGAUCAGAAUGGUCACACUCAAGAAAAUGGCCAGUCUCCAAGUUCAACAACUCAAACAGGACCGAUUUCACUGCCGCUGUUGAAGAUCACGGUGGACAACAUCGAGGAAUCAAGUGAACCCAACUCCCCGGACUACGACUGCACCGACACCCUGGACACCGUGAACGAUUCGACACCGUCACCCAUCGGCAAAGUCAUGGGGCUGUUUCCAGAGGCUGCUUUGGAUGGGUACAUGACUGGCUCCCCUCCCAGCACACUGUACGUGGGGACCCGGAGAACCAAGUGCCAUCUUCACCAGGACCCAAGGCCCUACUGCUGUCUGGAGUGGGGGCAGAACUGCGACCACUGUCAGACCAAGACAGCCAAAGAUGACCACUGGAAGGGCCAGAUCAUCAUCCUGGCUGCUGAGUAUGCCAGUACCGGGAUCUACAACUUCAUCGUGCCGCUACGGACCAGCUUCCAUAGUCUCGGUUCUCUCAGCCCCAUAGUUCUGCUGCUGGAACAAGAACCAGAUACAAUGUUCUUGGAGACUAUUGCUGCAUUCCCUCUUGUCUACUGGUUACAAGGAAAAAUCUCCAGCAUUGAUGACCUUCUCCGUGCUGGCAUCAACCACGCGUCUCAUGUCGUCAUCUCCAAUAAAGAGUCGGACAUUGACGCCAGUGAGGAGACUCUUGCUGAUGCAGAAACAGUUGUGACAGUCCAGAAGAUAUCCAGAUUGUUCCCCAACACCAACGUGAUCACGGAGCUGAACGAUGCAUCCAACAUGCGCUUCAUGCAGUUCCAGGCCCACGAUGUGUACUCACAGGAGAUAUCCAAGCUGGAAAAGAAACUGAAGGAGAGGACAAGCUCCAACUUGCCCCAUCUGUUCCGACUCCCGUUCGCUGCAGGCCAGGUGUUUAGUGCAGGGAUGCUGGACCGGCUCCUGUACCAGACAUUUGUGAAAGGGUACCUGAUCAGCUUUGUCCGCCUACUGCUGGGAAUCGACGCUCAACACAAUUCAGGCCAUCUCUCUAGCGUGAGGGUCCGGAGAGCCACCCUAGUUCAGUUCCCGACCUAUGGGGAGCUGUAUGAGGGCCUGUGCUCCACCACAGGGGAGAUCCCCAUCGCCAUCUACCGCUCCGAGAAACGGCCCACGCCUGUCGUGUCCUCACACCCAGAUAUCAGGAGCAUGAAUAACAACAUCAGCAAGCCAAGGCAGCCACGAGGCAAGUACAAACAGUCCAUCGCCAGCAAAAUGUACUUCUCUGACACGGACCAGAACGAGGCUCGGGAUCUCAUCAACAGCAGAAUGAAAAGCCUCAACAUUACUGAUGACCAAAGUCCAGCCAAAGAACAAGAUAGCUUGCUGUCCUAUGUGAUUGUGAACCCAUCUCCCAAAAGGAAACUGAAGAAUGGAGAUAUGAUCUAUGUGAUACAACCAAGCACCAUGAUGGCCGUCCCUAGCAAACUACGAUCAAAGACGCAGAGAAAUGUCUCAGCUAAACAUCUGAACUUCACAGUCAACUCUGUGCCCACACCAACUCUAACCCGAACAUCCCAGACUCGAGUCAGCUGGAAUCUAUCGGCCCACACCGAAAACCCGAAGCCUAAUGGAUCACGACCCAGUGAUUAUCGAUUCCGAUCAAAAUCUGAAUCUCAAGUGCCUAAAAUGGAGUGAUACUGUGCCUUUUCCUCUUCCUUGCUAAACAGACUGAACUGUCACCUGUCUGGGUUGACAUCUACAUGAACUAUUUGAUCCUCUUGUCGGAACAUCUGGAUCAAGGUGCUGAUGUUGCUGAGGGUGAUACCUCCGUACCUUACGUUGAACAAUUGAUGAUCUCUAAGAUUCUGUACAAGGAUUGGACAUACUUUUUAACCAGUUGUGAACAUACCAAACUGAUGAAUGAACCUGCUGAUCUGAAUAUGAUAUCUGAACUUUCAUAGUAUGACCUUUGACCACGAGUACAUAAUUAUAUUCUUCACAUUUUGUUAAUUUGAAAUAUUAAACUUAUUUUUUAAAAUGCAAUAUAUAAUUAACUAUAUUUUUUUCCUAGUUAUAUCAUGGGUUAAAGUUCCUAAAUGCAAAAAGAAAUGUUAUCAGGACAUCCAUUUUGCAUUUGCCACCUCUUCCAGAAGCAGAGAGAACAUUUUGUUAGGAUUGUGAGCAAAAUGGUUUCUUCUAUUUUUUAACCAUGAAAUUAAGUGAAAUUUGAUCAAAGAUGAAGACAAUUUAACUUGUGAAACUGAUACUCACAAUAGAAGUUCACACCAUCAGUUCAAACCCACGAGAUAGCUGGGUGUUCAGAGUGCAAUUCUAAUUACCCCCUUAUUAUCUAGAAUGGAAAUAUUCCUUGAAUCAAAUCACCUACUUGUCAAUAAUGCAGCAGCUGACCUCUUCUUAAACAAUUGAGUUUAAUCAUGUCAAUACAAUCACAUUAAUGAACAUCACUUGUGUGUCAUUUCCUGAGUGGACCAACGUGCAAUGAGAUAUGUAUAGGUAGGUGUUCUCGUCCUGUUUACACUGAAUUUAGAGGGGGAAAGCUCUUAUUGUGGAACAGCUGACGUUCGCAUACAUAUAUUACCUGCAUCUGAUUUGAAUAGAGCCGUCUCCUUUAUAUUAUAGUAAAAUAACAAUGUCUCAAAUUGCCUGAAACUAAAUAAGACCAUAAACAGUUGAAAUGUUCAAAAAAAGUUAUUUCAGUGGUAUUUCCACAUAGUCGUCCUGCUCCAACUUGGUGUUCAAGGAUUUGGUUGAAUUUGUCAAAUGCCUUAUUUUCAUGAUUUUCUCCAGAUGGAAAAGGGUUCCUGUAUAAUCCAAAAUGCUCUGUGUUCUAUCCCUCAUGAGUGUAGCCGACUUUGUGUACAUUUGAAAAAUCAUACGUGAUUUGUAUUAUUUGAAUACUCAAACUAAUGUUGCUUGCUAUCUUCAUCAAAGCUUAGGGUGUCAUUUUAAAAUUUCGCUUUCCUCUCGUUUCCCGAGGAACAGCAGGAUAGAUGGACUACUGUUUGCCUGGGUGUAGUUUCCCCCUAAUGUCAGAUAACCACAAUGUUAAUAUGCAGAGAUUAUUGCAAAGGUUUACCUUAUGCUUUUUGUACUGAGUAUUUCUCCAAAAUAUUUACCAGGGUGCCAUUGUACAAAGCAAUCUUAGCACUAAGGUGAUCGUAACUCACAUACCUUAACAUAGACUUACGACUGUCGUAGCGCUUAGGUUGUUUUCAACGGCACCCAGGUCAGUAACCAUGGUUCCUCCCUAUAGUUUCAUCAAUCAUUCCCCCAAACAAUGAACAGAUCAGUAACCAUAGCUCUUCCCAAUAAUUGCAUAAAUCAUUACCUAUAUUAAUAAACAGAUUUGUAGUCAGGGUUCUUCUCAAUGGUUGCAUCAAUCAUUCUUCCAAAGCAAGAAACAAAAUAGUUGUGGUUUCUGUGUAUGGUUCUGUCAAUCAUUUCUCAGAAAUGAAGCCACGUUUUUACCCAAUAUGUACAUUGAUCGUUUCGCCAAAAGGGUAACCAUGUCCUUCCGAUUAUCAAUCAUUCCUCCAAAAUAGAAUUAACAGAAUUGUAGCCAGGGUUCUUCCUUGUGAUUACAUCAAUAUUUCCACCAAAUGAUUAACCGACCCAUAGCAAGAAGUCUCACCAGCUUCCUUCAGAAUUAUGUACAGAAUGGUUGCCAGAGAUCUCCCUGUAGUUUGUAUCAAUCAUUCCUUCACAACAAUAAACAGAAUCGUAUCCAUGGUUCCUCUGUAUGGCUGCAUCAAUCAUUCCUCAAAAUAGAUACACUGAAUAGUUUCUAGCCUUCUUCCAAAUAGUUUCUUCAUUCAAUCAUUCUUCUGAAGCUGGUGAACAGUAGCCAUAGGUCUUCCAAACUAUGUCAAUCAUUCUUCCAAACCUAACCACAAUGACAGCUAUGGUUAUUCCUAGUUAUGAAAUCAUCCAGGAACCAAUGUCAUUCUUACCAGGAGAUGGUUAAACACAAACAUUGGAGAAGAUGUAGAGAAACCCAAUAACAUUAAUUUGAAAUCAAAUUACACAUGCCUGUUGUCAUUUCCUGACAAAUAGCAUCUCAGUUUGUUGAUCAUGUGGAUAUAGAUCUGACUGUUUAUGAAGAAAAUACUCUCAAGUCACAAUUCUCAAUUAGAAAAUGGUUUGCUUUGUCAGCAAAUGAUAAUGAUUUCAUGGUGCUAGUUUCAAACACGUAAAUUACCAUAUCACAACAUAUGAAGAAUAUGUAACCAUAGCAACAAUUUCUUUGACUUUAUCAGUACUAUUUCAUUAUAAUAUUUUGAUGUUUAUAUUUUAUUUUCUUACAACCUAGAAUGAAUUGCUUUUAUUAUGUUCCAGUAUCCACUUGCUAAUAACCGGAAGCAAAUUUACGUCAUUUGAAAUUCAUUGCAAAUGUCACUCAUAGUUUGAACUGAAAUAAUUUGUGAUAAUGCAUGAAUCUCACAUCCAGUAUUUAUUUGAUACUGAAUCUCAAUAUGAUUGUAACUGUUUUGGGGAUCUGUGGUCAAACCAAUAUUUUAUGUACAUUUCUUGUAGUUAUGUAGAAUAUCUAGUGCUGGUUUUUAUAUACUGAACCUUAUUGUACAUGUUUUUUGACAAACCACAAGUGUUUAGUGUGCAUGGUCCACUGUGAAGACAACUGUGUGACCCUGUUUCCAGUGGCUCCUUAGAGAGCUACUUGUUAGGACCAACCUUUCUUAUUUAUUGGUUUACAAAUUUAUUUUUUAAGUCCAUGUAGGUGGGAAAAUCUGAAACAGAUAGUUCAGAUUUUAUUUGUGUUCUUCAAAGAGUUACUUGAAUAUGUUGUCAUGCUGUUUUUCUGGUCUUGCAGAUUAAUCAUGUAUGCAUAAUAGAGUUACAGAGUGCUGAAUAAGAGUAACCUCCCUUUCGUACAUGGAUAAACCAACCAGAUAACAUCAGAUGCUGAAAAAAUGUCUGAUUAUAUCAUUGAUCUUUUUGUAUUUGUAUUUGUUUAUAUUUUUCACAUUUUAUAAAUGUCACCUAUUCAAUUUGAAUUUCAGAUUUCAUUUUUUUUCACUUUUUUGUUGUUGUUGGCUUCUCUGAUCUGUAAACUGAUUUUUUAAGCAAACAAUCUCUGUUAUAUGUCAUGUAAUGACCACUUGGUUGUGACGAAUCAUUUUCUAGUUCAGGAAAGAGGAAAUUAUUGAUUUUGACGAUGGUUUUGCUUGAUAUUUUUCCUGUGGUAACCAUUAAUUCCAAAUAUUUUUGUUCCAAAGAUUGUAUCAGUUAUUGUCUAUAUACUGAAUAAUAUCAUUCCUGUUUGACACGUUUUCUUAAAUUCCAUUCCGUAUUAUGGAUAAACCAUGUUAAAGAUCUGAUACUGAUUGAUAUUGAAAUGCAUUAAAUGUUUAACUUUUCAUCUGCAUAAUACCAGAUGCUAACCUUGCCAUACCGCAUGUUCAAGAUGGUUUUAUUCCAUAACACGUUGAGAACAUCUAACUAAUAUAUUAUGUUACACUAGUGUAAUUGUUUAUACACCUCUUCCAGAUUCUGUCAGUAAUACAUCACCUUUAAUUGAGCUGAGAAAUACCUUAUUUGAGGUAUAAAGCACCCAAGUUAUCAAGGGUGGAUCUGUAGGACUGCUUAGGCCUGAAGAGUUCCGUCAGGGCCUGUAGUUUCUAAAGUCUCUGGCAUCCAUGCAAUUUUUAUUAUUUUGAACACUGGUUGCCUGCCGUGGCUAGCAAUUUUCUAGGUGGGCCAGUAAUUUUUCAAACCCCUUAAACCCCUAUCCCGCCUGUCUAGUAACUUUGGUCUAACUUUCAAGUCAGAACAUGUGAUUCAAUAAGAAGAAUGUGCUAAAAUCUUUCUUAUCAUUUAAUAGUUUAUACCUGUUGGUUCCAACAUUCAUAUAGCUGGAAUAUUGCUGAGUGCGGUGUUAAACCAAAAAACAACCCAAAAUCAAAUGUCCUGUUUGCCAUGCAAUAUGAUUAAAAAUAGAUGAUAAGAUUAUUUUGAUAUGAUUUUCAAAUGUUAUUUUUACAUACACCACUGUGUAUGAUGACUGAUGUCAAUCUGAUGUUCCACCCGAGAGUAUAAGUCGAAUGUAAUGUUGAAAAAUUUAGCUUGACUGUAUCUUUUGCCUUAAUAUACGUUUGUGAAAUAUAUUUUAAGGAUAGUAUGUUGUUGACUGGUUAGUGAAGCCACGGUCAUAUAUGAAAUAUUUUUUGGGGUGGAGUAGGAAUUGUAGGAUCCUUAUCUUCCCACCUUAAGCAUAAGGACUGGAGCUGGAGGUAUAUUUU
rnacentral:misc_RNA from 1 species